UAGCCUGUAAAAGUAGUAUGUAAUUGUUAGGAAUUUGGUUCGGCCUAACUUGGAUGAGUAGUUGGAAAUCCUGACUGAAUCAGACUUGGGGAAUAUACAAACACUGAAACACAUAGUCGGGCUUUGCUUGUUGUCAUAGACUAUGAAGCCGCAAUUCACUUCUGGAAGGUUGACAAGUUUGACUUUGUUGUCUGCAUGAGUGCCUAUAUCGGCGUCGUUUUUGGCAGCAUUGAAAUUGGACUAGUCUUAGCGGUUGCAAUAUAUGUGAUCAGGGUACUUUCGUUUGUGGCAAGGCCAAGGACUUUGUUCAAGGAAACCUUCCGAAUUCCAUGGUUUACAGAAAUGUUGAGCAGUAUCCCAAUGCAAUGUUCCUGGAAUUCUCGUACUUGAGAUUGAUGCUCCCAUUUACUUUGCAAAUACCAACUACUUAAGAGAAAGGUACUAAUUAAUUAAACCUGA